rnacentral:rRNA from 1 species
AACGUAGGGGGCCAGCGUUGCUCGGAAUUACUGGGCGUAAAGGGUCCGUAGGCGGUGUGGCAAGUCGGAAGUGAAAUCUCUGGGCUUAACCCAGAGGCUGCUCCCGAAACUGCCAUGCUAGAGUGUGAGAGAGGCGAGUGGAAUUGCGGGUGUAGCGGUGAAAUGCGUAGAUAUCCGCAGGAACAUCCGAGGCGAAAGCGGCUCGCUGGAUCACAACUGACGCUGAGGGACGAAAGCUAGGGGAGCAAACAGG